rnacentral:misc_RNA from 1 species
AAAAUGCGAUACUUGGUGUGAAUUGCAGAAUCCCGUGAACCAUCGAGUUUUUGAACGCAAGUUGCGCCCGAAGCCAUCCGGCUGAGGGCACGCCUGCCUGGGCGUCACGCAUCGCGUCGCUCCCCACCAUACCUCCCCAACGGGUUGGCAUGGUGUUGGGGGCGGAUAAUGGCCUCCCGUGCUUGUGUUUCGGUUGGCCUAAAUAAGAGUUCCCUUCGGCGGACACACGACUAGUGGUGGUUGAAUAGACCCUCGUCUUUUGUUGCGUGUCGUGAGCUGUAAGGGUAGCCCUCAUCAAAGACCCCAUUGUAUCGUCUUCGGAUGAUGCUUCGACCGCGACCCCAGGUCAGGCGGGGCUACCCGCUGAGUUUAAGC